AGAGUUUGAUCAUGGCUCAGAGCGAACGCUGGCGGCGUGCUUAACACAUGCAAGUCGAGUGCGCGUCUGUAGCAAUACAGAUGGCGCACGGCGCACGGGUGCGUAACACGUGGGUAAUCUGCCCUUCGAAGGGGAAUAACUCGCCGAAAGGCGAGCUAAUUCCGCAUAACAUUCCAAGAGCUUCGGUUUUUGGACUCAAA
rnacentral:rRNA from 1 species